AUCUUUUCAUCACUUCAAGCAUAGCCAAAACUAAUGUAUGGUUUGUAGAGAUUCAGAGCAUGGGAAAAUUUUAUAUUGCUGUAUAUUGAUAUGCUGUAUACAAGACACAAUAUAUAGAGAUUACAAGAAAUAGAAUAUUGUGAUGUUGACUGAGUAAAAGAUACAAAGUUUAAUGUUGAAAAGUUGGUAAGAUAUGGGAUAAAGAUAGCCUUUAUUCCCUAAUACCCCCCAUUAAACUGAAGGCACAAUGGAGAGAAGCCAUAGUUUGUCUUUGUGCCGAGCAAAUAGCUUAGGGCCCAGUGGUUUCGUCAUAAUAUCAGCGAGCUGGUCAUUUGUAGAAAUGUACUAAAUUUUAAUAGUGCCGGCCUGGACUUAUUCCCAAACAAAAUGAUAGUCCAGCUCAAUAUGCUUCUUUCGAGCAUGGAAGAUAGGAUUGGAGCUAAGAUAAAUGGCGCCAAUGUUAACACCAAAGUACAGUAGGUGGCAGCUGAGAAUAUCCAAGUUCCAUAAGGAGAUUCCGAAGCCACAUCAA
rnacentral:misc_RNA from 1 species